UAGAUUUUACAAAAGCCCUAAAUAGGAAAACAUACAUAAUCAUUGGCAUAAAAUCCUAUUACUUCCUAAUCUAAUGCUUAAUUACAAGGAUUCUUGAUCUAUUUAUAAUUCUUGACACUCCUUCUCAAGCUGGAUUGGACACAUUGUAUGCUCCAAGCUUGUUACAGAUGUAACCAAUCCUAGAUGCUUGAAGAGAUUUUGUAAGGACGUUUGCUAACUAAUUAUUUGAAUUGACAAAACUAGUGACAAUAUACAACUCAAUCUUUUACUUAAAAAAGUGACAAUCUGUUUCUAUGUGCUUCAUUCUUUAAUGAAACAUGGCAUUUGAAGCAAUAUGCAACGUAGCUUGAUUGUCACAAAUUAGUUUCUUCUAUUCAUCUCCUUCACAAUUUAAUUCCUAAAAAAGCUGCUUUAGCCAUGUAAGGUCAAAUGUGGCUAAAACCAUGGCUUGGUUUGACCAGUACAUUUUGCUUUUUAUUUCUCCAAAAUAUUAGAUCACUUCCAAUUAAAAUGCAAUACCCUGAAGUAGACUGUUUGUUUGAAGGGGAUCUUGCCCAAUUUGCAUCAGAAUGCUCAAUAAUUUGUGUCCCUUGUCUUCAUACAACGUACUUUGUCCUAUGGCUUCUUAACAUACUUUGUCUUAGGGCUUCUUUAAUACAAUUGAAAAUGCAAAUUAUUGUAUUUCAAUGACUAUCAUAAGAAGCAUGUAGGAACUGGCUACACUGACAACAAAUGAGAUGUUGAGUCAAGUGAGCAUGCUUGAGGUGCAAGGCGAGGGUGGUGAUUGGCACAACGCUUAGGAGCACUCUAGGUGAGUGACCUUCCUAAGGCGACAUGGGGUGACGUGAGGUGCACCAAGGCAUAAAGCGCGCCCAGUUGUAACUCCUGCAUGCAAGCCCACUCAGCCUUAUAAACC
rnacentral:misc_RNA from 1 species